rnacentral:rRNA from 1 species
AUGGGAUUAGCGGGGCGGGGGCGACACGUGCGCGCGACGGGGGUGGGGUGGCGUUGUGGCGAGGCAACGGUAGGGAGUGCGGGCGGUGCGGUGGCCGCGGGUGGCGGAGUCAGAGUGGUGGGGGAGCCCGCGCGUGAGCGGGGCAGAGCAGAGCAGGGCAGAAAGGCAGUGACGGGUGCUCGCUUUUGCGGCCGUGGCGUUUUCCCUCGUGCGCUGCGUUUUUCCAGGUGCGGGUGCGGGUGCGACGACGCCGACUGCCGCGCCACCGGUCUGCUGUUGCUGUCACGACGGCGGCGGCGGCGCUGCCCAUGCCCGUCGACCAACGGUAGGAAACGCGGCGCGCGAGUGGGGGCGGGGCCGGGGGCUUGGGGCCGGGGUCGCGUCGUGGACCGGCGAGGUGGUGUCACGGGCGCGCGUUCGACACGUAUGUGCGUGCGUGGAUGGGCAUGGGCCGCGACUGGGCGAGGUCGAGCUGGAUGGAUCGGGCACAUGAACAGCUGGGUGGAACGGUAUCCAUGCGUCGGCCAUGUAAGCAGAUGGUUCGUGGUGCCACCCAUGGUUUCAGACCCUGAGUACUCGCAUAUACCAAUACUUUGUUCUUUUACUUUCGAGGGUAAAGGGAGUUUAUUGCAGAGUUAUAGAGUUACAGUCGAGAGGCCACAAGUCCUCGAGAACCACAUAGCACGUUGUGUGUGCCCAGUUUUCCCCCAAACCCUAAAACCCUGGCGGCGCCGGUGGCGAUUAGGGUUUGACGUGGAUUCGACUUUGCCCAACGACUCGUCGCCGGUGCAAGAGAGAGCGGAAGAGACAAGUGCCCCGGGCUCAUGGCUGCGCCUAGCGCCGCGGGCUUGGGGGAGGGGAGCGAUCCCCAGGCGAGCUGCGCCGCCAGGAAGAAGCUUGAGGAGGCGUUGGGGAAACUUGACAUAUCCGAAGAAGAGGCUACUCCUCUGA